rnacentral:lncRNA from 1 species
UGCUACUUAGGUGAGUUUACACUCAUGUACUACUCGAGGUCCUAGAACUUCCCCAUGAAAUAACAUCACUUGCCCACAGUGGUGACUUCCUGGCUAAUGAACUCUUUAACAGCCUUCUCUUAAUCUCUUUCUCACUUCUCUACCAAUGCUUUCUGGAUUCACAUUUUAAAUAUCCUGCUUGCUUGUGAAUUUGUUACUGGAAGGAGAUCCUGAUCCAGACCCCAAAGAAGGGUACUUGGAUCUUGCACAAGAAAGAGUUCAAGGUGAGUCCAUAGAGUAAGCUGAACGCAAGUUUAUUAAGAAAGUAAAGGAAUAAAAGAAUGGCUACUCCAUAGGCAGAGCAGCCCUGAGGGCUGCUGAUUGCUUGUUUUUAUGGUUAUUUAUUGCUUAUAUGCUAAACAAGGGGUGGAUUAUUCAUUCCCUCCCCUUUUGAGACCAUAUACGGUAACUUCCUGACAUUGCCAUGGCAUUUGUAAACUGUCAUGGCUUUGGUAGGAAUGUAACAGUGAGGACGACCAGAAGUCACUCUUGUGGCCAUCUUGAAUUUGGUUGGCUUCUUUACUGCAAGCUGUUUUAUCAGCAAAGUUUUUAAGACCUGUAUCUUGUGCUGACCUCCUAUCUCAUCCUGUGAUUUAGAAUGCCUAACUGUCUGGGAAUGCAGCGCAGUAGGGUGCUGCCUUAUUUUACCAAGCCCCUAUUCAAGAUAGAGUUGCUCUGGUUCAAAUGCCUCUGACAAAUAUGUCUGCUUCUUGAAGAAACCAAGGAAAAUGACGACCUUGCAUUCUGGUGAACCAACUGGUACCAUCUGGACCAGGAACCCAUCCCAAGAAAUUGACUCAACAGAUUCCUGACUUCCAUCCAGGAACUGACUCAGCACACAAGAAAGUUUCAACGCCUUGAUGAUUUCAUCCCCAACCCAACAAAUCAGCAUUCCCCAUUCCCCAUUCCCUAGCUCCCUGCCUGUCAAAUCAUCCUGGAAAAAUCCUUGCCUUUGAAUUCUAAAGAAGGUGGAUUUGAGAAAUAUUUCCCCUCCUCCUUUCUUUGUCAUCCUGCAAUUAUUAAACUCUUUCUCUGCUGCAACUUCUACUAUCUCAGACUUUUCUGCCCAGAUUUUUCUGGGCAGUGGGCACGAAGAACUCAUAUGGGCAAUAAGAGAGCUGCAUUCCUUGUAAUUCUUGGCUCAUGGUCCCUUCCACUAUCUUCAAAGCCAGAGAAUAGCCUCUUCAAAAUCUCUCUCUGCUUCUCUUUUCACAUUUGGACUCACCAAGACAAUCAAGAAUAAUCUUCCAUCUCAUUAAUCUAAUUUAAUCACAUCU